rnacentral:rRNA from 1 species
AUGACUGGUCCAGAGGCAAUUGUGAAGAUCCGUGCUAUGGGGGAAACUGAUGUGAAGAUUGUUGGGGUUUCUGCCGAUAAUCAUGCCAUGGAGGCGUUCAUCAGUGCUGGUGCUGAUUUAUUUGUGCCCAAACCAAUAAGGAUGGAGGCCCUCGGUCCUAUCAUUCAGGAUGUCAUCAACAAGAAGACGAAUGACAUGGUCUAG